UACACAUGCAAGUCGAGCGAUGAAACACCUUCGGGUGUGAAUUAGCGGCGAACGGGUGAGGAACACGUGAAGAAUCUGCCUUCAACUCUGGGAUAACUCCGGGAAACCGGGGCUAAUACCGGAUAUGAGCCUCGAUCGCAUGAUUGGGGCUGGAAAGUUUUUCGGUUGAAGAUGACUUCGCGGCCUAUCAGCUUGUUGGUGAGGUAAUGGCUCACCAAGGCGACGACGGGUAGCCGGCCUGAGAGGGCGACCGGCCACACUGGGACUGAGACACGGCCCAGACUCCUACGGGAGGCAGCAGUGGGGAAUAUUGGGCAAUGGAGGAAACUCUGACCCAGCGACGCCGCGUGAGGGAUGAAGGCCUUCGGGUUGUAAACCUCUUUCAGUAGGGAAGAAGCGAAAGUGACGGUACCUACAGAAGAAGCACCGGCUAACUAUGUGCCAGCAGCCGCGGUAAUACAUAGGGUGCAAGCGUUGUCCGGAAUUAUUGGGCGUAAAGAGCUCGUAGGUGGUUCGAUACGUCGGAUGUGAAAAUCAGGGGCUCAACCCCUGACCUGCAUCCGAUACGGUCGAGCUAGAGUUUGGUAGGGGAGACUGGAAUUCCUGGUGUAGCGGUGGAAUGCGCAGAUAUCAGGAGGAACACCGAUGGCGAAGGCAGGUCUCUGGGCCAAUACUGACACUGAGGAGCGAAAGCGUGNGGAGCGAACAGGAUUAGAUACCCUGGUAGUCCACGCCGUAUACGGUGGGCGCUAGUUGUGCGAACCUUCCACGGUUUGUGCGACGCAGCUAACGCAUUAAGCGCCCCGCCUGGGGAGUACGAUCGCAAGAUUAAAACUCA
rnacentral:rRNA from 1 species